CCUGGGGUUGAAACUCCAGGCUAUUAUCUGUCGUCCCUAAAGGGACU
rnacentral:sRNA from 1 species